rnacentral:rRNA from 1 species
AGAGUUUGAUCCUGGCUCAGGAUGAACGCUAGCUACAGGCUUAACACAUGCAAGUCGAGGGGCAGCAUGGUCUUAGCUUGCUAAGGCCGAUGGCGACCGGCGCACGGGUGAGUAACACGUAUCCAACCUGCCGUCUACUCUUGGACAGCCUUCUGAAAGGAAGAUUAAUACAAGAUGGCAUCAUGGGUCCGCAUGUUCACAUGAUUAAAGGUAUUCCGGUAGACGAUGGGGAUGCGUUCCAUUAGAUAGUAGGCGGGGUAACGGCCCACCUAGUCUUCGAUGGAUAGGGGUUCUGAGAGGAAGGUCCCCCACAUUGGAACUGAGACACGGUCCAAACUCCUACGGGAGGCAGCAGUGAGGAAUAUUGGUCAAUGGGCGAGAGCCUGAACCAGCCAAGUAGCGUGAAGGAUGACUGCCCUAUGGGUUGUAAACUUCUUUUAUAAAGGAAUAAAGUCGGGUAUGCAUACCCGUUUGCAUGUACUUUAUGAAUAAGGAUCGGCUAACUCCGUGCCAGCAGCCGCGGUAAUACGGAGGAUCCGAGCGUUAUCCGGAUUUAUUGGGUUUAAAGGGAGCGUAGAUGGAUGUUUAAGUCAGUUGUGAAAGUUUGCGGCUCAACCGUAAAAUUGCAGUUGAUACUGGAUAUCUUGAGUGCAGUUGAGGCAGGCGGAAUUCGUGGUGUAGCGGUGAAACGCUUAGAUAUCACGAAGAACUCCGAUUGCGAAGGCAGCCUGCUAAGCUGCAACUGACAUUGAGGCUCGAAAGUGUGUGUAUCAAACAGGAUUAGAUACCCUGGUAGUCCACACGGUAAACGAUGAAUACUCGCUGUUUGCGAUAUACAGCAAGCGGCCAAGCGAAAGCGUUAAGUAUUCCACCUGGGGAGUACGCCGGCAACGGUGAAACUCAAAGGAAUUGACGGGGGCCCGCACAAGCGGAGGAACAUGUGGUCUAAUUCGAUGAUACGCGAGGAACCUUACCCGGGCUUAAAUUGCAGAUGAAUUACGGUGAAAGCCGUAAGCCGCAAGGCAUCUGUGAAGGUGCUGCAUGGUUGUCGUCAGCUCGUGCCGUGAGGUGUCGGCUUAAGUGCCGUAACGAGCGCAACCCUUGUUGUCAGUUACUAACAGGUUCUGCUGAGGACUCUGACAAGACUGCCAUCGUAAGAUGUGAGGAAGGUGGGGAUGACGUCAAAUCAGCACGGCCCUUACGUCCGGGGCUACACACGUGUUACAAUGGGGGGUACAGAGGGCCGCUACCACGCGAGUGGAUGCCAAUCCCCAAAACCUCUCUCAGUUCGGACUGGAGUCUGCAACCCGACUCCACGAAGCUGGAUUCGCUAGUAAUCGCGCAUCAGCCACGGCGCGGUGAAUACGUUCCCGGGCCUUGUACACACCGCCCGUCAAGCCAUGGGAGCCGGGGGUACCUGAAGUGCGUAACCGCGAGGAGCGCCCUAGGGUAAAACUGGUGACUGGGGCUAAGUCGUAACAAGGUA